rnacentral:rRNA from 1 species
CCUACGGGAGGCAGCAGUGAGGAAUAUUGGUCAAUGGGCGCGAGCCUGAACCAGCCAAGUCGCGUGAAGGAUGACUGCCCUAUGGGUUGUAAACUUCUUUUAUAAAGGAAUAAAGUGAGGCACGUGUGCCUUUUUGUAUGUACCAUAUGAAUAAGGAUCGGCUAACUCCGUGCCAGCAGCCGCGGUAAUACGGAGGAUCCGAGCGUUAUCCGGAUUUAUUGGGUUUAAAGGGUGCGUAGGCGGAUAGUUAAGUCAGUUGUGAAAGUUUGCGGCUCAACCGUAAAAUUGCAGUUGAAACUGGCAGUCUUGAGUGCAGGAGAGGUAGGCGGAAUGCGUGGUGUAGCGGUGAAAUGCUUAGAUAUCACGAAGAACUCCGAUUGCGAAGGCAGCUCACUGGACUGCAACUGACACUGAGGCACGAAAGUGUGGGUAUCAAACAGGAUUAGAUACCCCAGUAGUC